rnacentral:miRNA from 2 species
AAACUGUGCAAAGGCUUUUGGG